AAAACAUCCUCCCACCUCAGCCUCCCAAGUAGCUGGGAAUACAGGAGAGGAAGAAACAAGGCACAGGGGAGCUUGAGUACCUGGGACUGGCCUGUGAUGAAGCUGGGAUCUCACUGCAGUUAGAUGUGCUGGGGAUUAAACUGUGCCUGGGAAUUUGCAUUCCAGAAGAGAAGGAUAUUGAACUAGAAGGAUAGGUUUGCAAGUGAAUACUGUAUUAAGAUGUGAAUUUGUGGGUGGCAGUGCUCUUGUAUUUGUCCCUGUUUUCAUCUCCAGCCAGGUGGCUAAACC